rnacentral:rRNA from 1 species
GACGAACGCUGGCGGCGUGCUUAACACAUGCAAGUCGAACGGAAAGGCCCUGCUUUUGUGGGGUGCUCGAGUGGCGAACGGGUGAGUAACACGUGAGUAACCUGCCCUUGACUUUGGGAUAACUUCAGGAAUCUGGGGCUAAUACCGGAUAGGAGCUCCUGCUGCAUGGUGGGGGUUGGAAAGUUUCGGCGGUUGGGGAUGGACUCGCGGCUUAUCAGCUUGUUGGUGGGGUAGUGGCUUACCAAGGCUUUGACGGGUAGCCGACCUGAGAGGGUGACCGGCCCAACUGGAACUGAGACACGGUCCAGACGCCUAAGGGAGGAAGCAGGAGGGAAUCUGCCGCAAUGGGCGAAAGCCUGACGGAGCAACGCCGCGUGAGGGAUGAAGGUCUUCGGAUCGUAAAACUCUGUUAUUAGGGAAGAACAAAUGUGUAAGUAACUAUGCACGUCUUGACGGUACCUAAUCAGAAAGCCACGGCUAACUACGUG